rnacentral:rRNA from 1 species
GACGAACGCUGGCGGCGUGCUUAACACAUGCAAGUCGAACGGAAAGGCCCUGCUUUUGUGGGGUGCUCGAGUGGCGAACGGGUGAGUAACACGUGGGUAACCUGCCCUUGACUUUGGGAUAACUUCAGGAAACUGGGGCUAAUACCGGAUAGGAGCUCCUGCUGCAUGGUGGGGGUUGGAAAGUUUCGGCGGUUGGGGAUGGACUCGCGGCUUAUCAGCUUGUUGGUGGGGUAGUGGCUUACCAAGGCUUUGACGGGUAGCCGGCCUGAGAGGGUGACCGGCCACAUUGGGACUGAGAUACGGCCCAGACUCCUACGGGAGGCAGCAGUGGGGAAUAUUGCACAAUGGGCGGAAGCCUGAUGCAGCAACUCCGCGUGCGGGAUGACGGCCUUCGGGUUGUAAACCGCUUUCGCCUGUGACGAAGCGUGAGUGACGGUAAUGGGUAAAGAAGCACCGGCUAACUACGUG